rnacentral:rRNA from 1 species
AACGUAGGUCACAAGCGUUGUCCGGAAUUACUGGGUGUAAAGGGAGCGCAGGCGGGAAGACAAGUUGGAAGUGAAAUCCAUGGGCUCAACCCAUGAACUGCUUUCAAAACUGUUUUUCUUGAGUAGUGCAGAGGUAGGCGGAAUUCCCGGUGUAGCGGUGGAAUGCGUAGAUAUCGGGAGGAACACCAGUGGCGAAGGCGACCUACUGGGCACCAACUGACGCUGAGGCUCGAAAGUGUGGGUAGCAAACAGG